rnacentral:rRNA from 1 species
CAGUCGCCGCGGUAAUACGUAGGGUGCGAGCGUUAAUCGGAAUUACUGGGCGUAAAGCGUGCGCAGGCGGUUUUGUAAGACAGGCGUGAAAUCCCCGGGCUCAACCUGGGAAUGGCGCUUGUGACUGCAAAGCUAGAGUGCGGCAGAGGGGGAUGGAAUUCCGCGUGUAGCAGUGAAAUGCGUAGAUAUGCGGAGGGACACCGAUGGCGAAGGCAAUCCCCUGGGCCUGCACUGACGCUCAUGCACGAAAGCGUGGGGAGCAAACAGGAUUAGAUACCCGCGUAGUCCCUGUCUCUUAUAC